GGCGGACGGGUGAGUAACGCGUGGUAACCUGCCUCAUACAGGGGGAUAACAGUUAGAAAUGACUGCUAACACCGCAUAAUAUAGCGAAACCGCAUGAUUUUGCUAUCAAAUAUUUAUAGGUAUGAGAUGGGCCCGCGUCUGAUUAGCUAGUUGGUGGGGUAAAGCCUACCAAGGCGACGAUCAGUAGCCGGCUUGAGAGAGUGACCGGCCACAUUGGGACUGAGACACGGCCCAAACUCCUACGGGAGGCAGCAGUGGGGAAUAUUGGACAAUGGGGGAAACCCUGAUCCAGCGAACCGCCGCGUGAGUGAAGAAGUAUUUCGGUAUGUAAAGCUCUAUCAGCAGGGAAGAUAAUGACAGUACCUGACUAAGAAGCCCCGGCUAACUACGUGCCAGCCGCUGC
rnacentral:rRNA from 1 species